rnacentral:rRNA from 1 species
AUUGAACGCUGGCGGCAGGCCUAACACCUGAAAGUCGAGCGAGCGGCGGACGGGUGAGUAAUGUCUGGGAAACUGCCUGAUGGAGGGGGAUAACUACUGGAAACGGUAGCUAAUACAGCAUACCAUCAGAUGUGCCCAGAUGGGAGUAGAUAGGAGGUGGGGUAACGGCUCACCUAGGCGACGAGCCAUAGCUGGUCUGGGAGGAUGAACAGCCACACUUGAACUGAGACACGGUCCAGACUCCUACGGGAGGCAGCAGUGGGGAAUAUUGCACAAUGGGCGCAAGCCUGAUGCAGCCAUGCCGUGUGUGUGAAGAGGGCCUUCGGGUUGUAAAGCACUUUCAGUGGGGAGGCGUUACUCGCAGAAGAAGCACCGGCUAACUCCGUGCCAGCAGACGCGGUAAUAC